rnacentral:misc_RNA from 1 species
UUUCCGUAGGUGAACCUGCGGAAGGAUCAUUAUUGUAUAACCGAUUUGCGAGGACUGUCGCAGAUUCGAAUGUACUUGCACGCCUGAGUUUCCUUAUACACUUCUAUCUCACCCCUACUUGCAUCACCGCUUGAGUCCUCCUUUGGCUUUUCAGGAGGGGGGUUUACUUUUUUAUUCAUACUUUGUACGCAUUGUAGAAUGUAUUUUUUGUUUUUGCGAUCACGCAAUCAACACAACUUUCUACAACGGAUCUCUUUGCUCUCGGAGCGAUGAAGAACG